GACGAACGCUGGCGGCGUGCUUAACACGUGCAAGUCGAACGGAAAGGCCCUGCUUUUGUGGGGUGCUCGAGUGGCGAACGGGUGAGUAACACGUGAGUAACCUGCCCUUGACUUUGGGAUAACUUCAGGAAACUGGGGCUAAUACCGGAUAGGAGCUCCCGCUGCAUGGUGGGGGUUGGAAAGUUUCGGCGGUUGGGGAUGGACUCGCGGCUUAUCAGCUUGUUGGUGGGGUAGUGGCUUACCAAGGCUUUGACGGGUAGCCGGCCUGAGAGGGUGACCGGCCACAUUGGGACUGAGAUACGGCCCAGACUCCUACGGGAGGCAGCAGUGGGGAAUAUUGCACAAUGGGCGGAAGCCUGAUGCAGCAACGCCGCGUGCGGGAUGACGGCCUUCGGGUUGUAAACCGCUUUCGCCUGUGACGAAGCGUGAGUGACGGUAAUGGGUAAAGAAGCACCGGCUAACUACGUG
rnacentral:rRNA from 1 species